rnacentral:rRNA from 1 species
UACGUAGGGUGCGAGCGCUGCCCGGAUUUAUUGGGCGUAAAGGGCGCGUAGGCGGCCACGCACGUCCGUUGUGAAAUCGCCCGGCUCAACUGGGCGGGGUCAGCGGAUACGGUGUGGCUCGAGCAAGCUAGGGGGCAAUGGAAUUCCCGGUGUAGUGGUGGAAUGCGUAGAUAUCGGGAGGAACACCAGUGGCGAAGGCGGUUGCCUGGAGCUUUGCUGACGCUGAGGCGCGAAAGCGUGGGGAGCGAUCCGG